rnacentral:rRNA from 1 species
CCCUUAGAUGUCCUGGGCUGCACGCGCGCUACACUGAUGUGUCCAGUAAGCACCUAACCUCUUCCGAAGGGAACGGGUAACCUUAGCAAAGCACAUCGUGAUGGGGAUAGAUUAUUGCAAUUAUUAGUCUUGAACGAGGAAUUCCUAGUAAGCACAAGUCAUCAGCUUGUGUUGAUUACGUCCCUGCCCUUUGUACACACCGCCCGUCGCUCCUACCGAUUGAAUGUUCCGGUGAACCUUUCGGACCGGGAGCAGCCUCGUGCUGCGCCUGGAAAGUCAAGUAAACCACAUCACUUAGAGGAAGGAGAAGUCGUAACA